UACGAAGGGUGCAAACGUUGCUCGGAAUCAUUGGGCGUAAAGCGCACGUAGGCGGCCUCAUAAGUCGGAUGUGAAAUCCCUCGGCUCAACCGAGGACGUGCAUCCGAAACUGCGUAGCUAGAGUCUCGGAGAGGAAGGCGGAAUGCUUGGUGUAGAGGUGAAAUUCGUAGAUAUCAAGCGGAACACCGGUGGCGAAGGCGGCCUUCUGGACGAUGACUGACGCUGAGACGCGAAAGCGUGGGGAGCAAACAGG
rnacentral:rRNA from 1 species